rnacentral:lncRNA from 1 species
CAUAUGGAAGUUCCCAGGCUAUGGGUCAAACCAGGGAUACGGCUGCUGGCCUACACCACAGCCAUAGCAAUGUGGGAUCCGAGCCACAUCUAUGACCUACACCACAGCUCACAGAAAUGCCAGAUCUCCAACCCACUGAGCAAGGCCAGGGAUCAAACCCACGUCCUCAUGGAUACUAGUCGGAUUCAUUUCUACUGUGCCACAACGGGAACUCCCCUGCUGCUUCUGAGCUCAGCUCUCCCACCCCACAUGCACCCCAGGGAGCCACUCCCCACACACUAGCCCCACGCCCCGUCCCCACACAUCGUCCCCACUCGCCAUUCCCAAGAACUGCCAGGGCCCCUCCUCUGGGUGACCCGCAACGUGACCCUGACCGCAUGCAUGAUGGGCUAACCCUUUUGCUCUCUGCUGCAUCCUGACACCCCAAGUGUGUGUGUUUCCAGCAUCCUGUUCUUUAUCUUUUGAGCCAUCAGGGUGCCUUUGGCUGCAAACUAGGGCAUGUACCGGCUUUAUUAACUGAAAGGCCAGAGGAAAGUGAUCAGUGAUCACCCUUUUUCACUUCUUCUUGUUCCCUGAAAAAGAUAAGUCUCUUCUCCUGAUCACUAUAGCUGUUCUGUAUGUCAUGAUUAUGUAUGUUUGUAUUAUACAGACAUAUGCAUAACAUAAACAUAAAUAUAUAAGAAACUCCCUUAUCCAUCACCCCACCCUGGACCACAGGGUGGUAUGUUCAUGUUCCUGAAGAUCAGCUGUAAUAGAAACACUUUCAUAAACACAUUUGAAUCUUUAAGGAAAUUCACUGUGUAAGGCAAAUCAUGUGCAAGGCAUAAGAUCUUUAGGGGUGAACCAUCACCUCUUAAUAAUAAGUGGUUUACAAAUGGAGACUUGGUGCAUUAAGUUUCCUUUAAAAGUGGCCGCUUUUUAAACAGUUACCCCGUUUAAUGAGUAAGAGCAGCUCCUCCACUAGUUGUGGUGUUUGUUCUCACCAUGGCAAGGUGAAAGUUCACUAACCACAGUGUUUAACAGGACACAUUUUUUGGUUUGUGUUAAGACACUCGACAGCACUGAAGUUAAAAAUACAUAAUGUAAUAAAAUGCCAAAAAGCAUUACUAAGGGCUUUUAUAGACAAAGUCUCUGCAGGACCAUAAACUCCACGGCACUAAACAUUACCAACAUUGUUAAUAUUUUCUGUCCAAACAGAGGCCUCCCUUCCUCACCCACUCUUGCUGUGAGACCCAUACCACAUAAGGUAGCUUUUACACACAUUCCAUAAUUAAAUACACACCCACAGGAAGUAAGGGCUGCACCACUGCCCUUUGCAGCAGGGAGCAAAGAGCUGUUAAUUAGAAAGGCCAAAGGCAAGUACCAGACCUAUUACUUGCAUGUUUCGACAAUGUCUUUGGGGUUUUGGUCUUUUUACGGCCACUCCCGCGGCACAUGGAAGUUCCCAGGCUCAGCCCCCGCCUCACUCUGGGUAGGACCCACCACCAGGGCAGUGGGAUUUCUCAUGCAAUGCGGACGCAGUCAAGCUGCAGCGAGGAUCUUCUGGGUUCAGCUGAUUUACUCCCUUUUAGGGGUGGGAGUGGACGCAGGAAGCCGGAGAGCAGAGCCGGGUGUGGGAGAACCACCCCCACCGUUCCCGCCGCAGGUACAACCCUGGGAAUCGGAGUGCCCGUAGGACGUGGCAGUCUCCCUGAGGACAUAACUUAAGUCACAGCAGUGUGGAGAGGAGACUCCAACAUCUUGCUGUCCCCAUGCUUGACUGAUCACCUGCACACGAAGAAAAUAAACAGGGCUGUGACAUGGGCUCAGCCCCUCCUCUCUGGCCGGUCCGUGUGGGUCCCUCCUGACCUCUGCCUUCCAGAAACAUCUCUCAUGAAGGUCAGUGACCUCUUAAAAAACAAAUCCACGAGAUGUCUUUCAAUCUUCCUGACAUGCGACCUUUAAAAACAAGGCUCUCCGGGUCAUGUCAGGUUCUACCCCCUGGGCCUCCGGACCUGCAUCAGGACCUCCCACACUGUGCCCCACUUCCUCCCUGUGACAUCCCAUGCCAAAUGCACGGUCAGCCCCUGUCUGUGGGCCAUUUCCACAGAGAAUUCCUCACAGCAACUCAAACCUGAGGAUGGGAUGAUGCCUGCCCAGUGCCCCCGUGUCCUCCCCGCAACCCCAUCCUCCCCACGGCAUUGCCCUCCCUUGGGCACAUCCCCAGCCACACAGGGCUCCCCUAGCAUCCUGACCCCUGGUCUUCAGGUCAUCCACUUCUGCUUGUUCCAGCUCCUAGACCCUCUGCCCACCUCACCUGCCACAGUCCAGAUCCACGACUGCCCUGGGGUCUGUGGCUACAGCCUCCUUCCUGGGUUCUCUGCCCCAGCGGUGCCCGAAAUCAGACCCUGAGACCCAGCCGGGGGGUCUCUAAGGAAGAGCUCUGCCCCCCACUGGGCACAGGGUCGGGUUCCCCUGUAACACCUGGGGCACCUCCUCCCCGGCCUCUUCUCUGGGCACUCCUGCCAUCACGUACUGAGGACACACGCACGUGCGCACACACACACACACACACACUUCUGGCAGGCUGCUGCCUCUCAGGCAGGAAGACUCUCCCCAUGUCCCCUCACUGACAGCCUUGCACACUGAGGGGGCACCAGGCUCUUGGUCACCCCAACCCCCUCCAGCCGCACCACCACCUGGACCCCACAGGCCCCCUCACUCAUGUUGCAAGGGCUUCCUUUCCUGAGUCUUGGGGAGCUGGACUCCUUGCGCCCAUGGCCCCUGCGCACUGGGCCUUGGUAAAGUUCAGGGAAACCUGGCCUGUCAGAGAGGCAGUGGUUUCACCUUCUGCUCAGAAAGGUGGUGCAGGAGAAGUUCCAGAACCUCCUAAGGCCCUGAGGAGGAGCAGUGUUGGGGGCAGUUCCAUGACUUCCUAAGCUGCCCUGCCCCAGGAGAAGCUUCGGAAGCCGGCUAAGGAGGCAAAAGCACAGCAGCUAAAAGGAAGCCUUUUUCUUAAGAAGGAGAUGCUUCUCUGUUACCCUGGAGCCUGACUGCCACACGGAAGGGCCUGAUAAACCCUGCCGCUCCCUCAGGGUGGAGAGGGAGGGCCUGCAGGGGGUCAGCAGGGGUCAGCAGGGGUCAGACUCCUCCAGCAGGUGGAGCUUCGGCUCUGUGUCAUCCUGGCCUCAGGCUAGGUGCCCGGUCGAAGGCCCGGCACUCCACCCAGCUGAGGCCUUGCUUCUGUUUCUGCUCCCUUCGCAGGGCAGGCCUCACGAGGGCAAAGUUGGGCUACAGGCCUUGCUCAGAGCACUUGCUGGAUGCUCACGGAUCUACCUGUAACAGUUCAACAUCCUGACACACCUCUUCCUCUCUGCCUUUGAAAACCCUGGGGUAAUUCCACGCAAUCUGAUUCCUCCAGUCUACCAAGUGCUACUAACCUCUCGUCUUUAUUUAUUUAAUUUUAUUUUAUGGUUGCACCUGCGGCAUGUGGAAUUUUCUGGGGCUAGGGGUUGAAUUAGAGCUGCAGCUGCCAGCCUACACCACAGCCACAGCAACUUGGGAUCUGAGCUGUGUCUGUGACCUACACACAGCUCACAGCAACCAUGGAUCCUUAACCCACUAAGCAAGGCCAGGGAUUGAACCCGCAUCCUCAUGGAUGCUAGUC